AUUGAACGCUGGCGGCAGGCCUAACACAUGCAAGUCGAGCGGAGCGGCGGACGGGUGAGUAAUGCCUAGGAAUCUGCCUGGUAGUGGGGGAUAACGUCCGGAAACGGGCGCUAAUACCUCAUCCUUUCGUAUGACCCUGGGUCGGGUUAGCUAGUUGGUGGGGUAAAGGCCUACCAAGGCAACGAUCCGUAACGGGUCUGAGAGGAUGAUCAGUCACACUGGAACGGAGACACGGGCCAGACUCCUACGGUAGGCAGCAGUGGGGAAUAUUGGACAAGGGGCGAAAGCCUGAUCCAGCCAGGCCGCGUGUGUGAAGAAGGUCUUCGGAUUGUAAAGCACUUUAAGUUGGGAGGCGUUACCAACAGAAUAAGCACCGGCUAACUUCGUGCCAGCAGCCGCGGUAAUUC
rnacentral:rRNA from 1 species